rnacentral:rRNA from 1 species
UACGCAGGGGGCUAGCGUUGCUCGGAAUCACUGGGCGUAAAGGGUGCGUAGGCGGGUUUUUAAGUCAGGGGUGAAAUCCUGGAGCUCAACUCCAGAACUGCCUUUGAUACUGAAGAUCUUGAGUCCGGGAGAGGUGAGUGGAACUGCGAGUGUAGAGGUGAAAUUCGUAGAUAUUCGCAAGAACACCAGUGGCGAAGGCGGCUCACUGGCCCGGUACUGACGCUGAGGUGCGAAAGCGUGGGGAGCAAACAGG